rnacentral:rRNA from 1 species
UACGUAGGGUGCAAGCGUUGUCCGGAAUUAUUGGGCGUAAAGAGCUCGUAGGCGGUUUGUCGCGUCUGCUGUGAAAACUCGGGGCUUAACCCCGGGCCUGCAGUGGGUACGGGCAGACUAGAGUGCGGUAGGGGAGAUUGGAAUUCCUGGUGUAGCGGUGGAAUGCGCAGAUAUCAGGAGGAACACCGAUGGCGAAGGCAGAUCUCUGGGCCGUAACUGACGCUGAGGAGCGAAAGCGUGGGGAGCGAACAGG